rnacentral:rRNA from 1 species
AUUGAACGCUGGCGGCAUGCCUUACACAUGCAAGUCGAACGGUAACAGGUCUUCGGAUGCUGACGAGUGGCGAACGGGUGAGCAAUACAUCGGAACGUGCCUAGUAGUGGGGGAUAACUACUCGAAAGAGUGGCUAAUACCGCAUGAGAUCUACGGAGGAAAGCAGGGGAUCGCAAGACCUUGUGCUACUAGAGCGGCAGAUGGCAGGUUAGGUAGUUGGUGGGAUAAAAGCUUACCAAGCAGACGAUCUGUAGCUGGUCUGAGAGGACGAUCAGCCACACUGGGACUGAGACACGGCCCAGACUCCUACGGGAGGCAGCAGUGGGGAAUUUUGGACAAUGGGCGAAAGCCUGAUCCAGCAAUGCCGCGUGCAGGAUGAAGGCCUUCGGGUUGUGAACUGCUUUUGUACGGAACGAAAAGCCCCGGGUUAAUACCCUGGGGUCAUGACGGUACCGUAAGAAUAAGCACCGGCUAACUACGUGCCAGCCGCCGCCGUAA